UUGCUUGAUAGUUGCGGUCUGUCGUUUCGAUUUCGGUAAAAGCAAAGCGUCUCGAAUUAGGCUUUCGUCGGAGUCAUAUUCGCAGUUUAAUCGUUAUAAUUCGUCUUAAAGAUAUUCAGUUUUAUUAAUUUUUCGUUAGUGCUUCGCAUUGCAGUAGAAGAAAACGAUGAAUCGCCGCCGAGCCUACGAGGAUGACGGCGAUUUUUACGGAGAGCGAUCUCGAAAACGUCGUCGUGUGUCGGAAAACCAAGAAAUGGAGGAACGUUUGGAGGCACUUAUUUUGAGAGUGGGUGAGAACAGCACUUCAUCGCUGGAGUCCAAUUUGGAAGGGUUGGUGUCAGUUCUGGAGUCCGAUUUGGGCAAUUUCCGCAAUAAAAUUUUGCGUAUUUUGUCCGAAUGUCCCAUCAAGAUGCCGGAAAAAUGUACCAUUUACUCAACGAUGGUCGGACUAAUGAACGCGAAGAAUUACAACUUUGGCGGAGAGUUUGUUGACCAUAUGGUGAAGACAUUCAAGGACAGUUUGAAGCAAUGCAAGUGGGACAGUGCUCGAUAUGCUCUACGGUUUUUGUCUGAUCUGGUAAAUUGUCACGUUAUAUCAACAAACUCGUUACUGCAGCUGUUGGAUAAUUUGGUUGAUGCGGCAAAUGAGGAUGCGGUUCCACAGGUGCGCCGAGAUUGGUACGUGUUUGCUGUGCUUUCGACCUUGCCUUGGGUCGGUCGAGAAUUGUAUGAGAAAAAAGAAUCUGCUCUAGAAAAUCUACUGGUGCGUAUCGAGGUUUUCCUAAAUAAACGAACCAAGAAACACCACAACUCGUUGCGUGUUUGGUCGGUGGAUGCACCACAUCCCCAGGAGGAAUAUUUGGAUUGUCUUUGGGCUCAGAUUCGCAAACUUCGUCAGGACAACUGGGCAGAGAAACACAUUCCGAGACCAUACCUGGCUUUUGAUUCCGUCCUUUGUGAAGCGCUGCAACAUAAUCUACCGGUGAUUCAUCCUCCACCGCAUCAGGAAUGCUUCGAAUAUCCUAUGCCUUGGGUUGUGUAUCGAAUGUUCGAUUAUACGGACUGUCCGGCUGGACCAAUCUUACCCGGUGCUCAUUCGAUCGAACGGUUUUUGAUUGAGGAACAUUUGCAUUCGAUUGUAGAAACACAUCAUUGGGAGCGGAAAGAUUGUGCAGCUCAUCUGUUGAAUUUGGCUUAUAAGGACAAGAUUCCGCUGGAGUAUUGCAUCGUGGAAGUGAUUUUUGCUGAGUUGUUUCACAUGCCGACACCACGCUAUCUGGAGAUUUGCUAUGGAUCGAUUUUGAUUGAGCUGUGCAAAUUGCAACCAUCGAAAAUGCCACAAGUGUUGGCCCAGGCAACGGAAAUACUGUUUAUGCGAAUUGAUUCAAUGAAUACCAGUUGCUUUGAUCGGUUUGCCAACUGGUUUUCCUAUCAUUUGAGCAACUUCCAGUUCCGCUGGAGCUGGGAUGAUUGGGACAGCUGUUUGCUGCUGGAGAUGGAGCAUCCGAGGCCGAAAUUUAUUCAGGAAGUGCUGCUGAAAUGUUUGAGAUUUUCGUACCACGACCGGUUCAAGGAAAUGAUGCCGGAAACAUACGCAAAGUUGAUUCCAAAACCACCGCUACCGAGUUACAAAUAUACGAUGGACGGUGCCGCUUCCCUCCCAGGCACAGCCACCGCGCACAAGUUGGUGGUCGCUAUCCGUCAGAAAUGCACACCCGAAGACGUAUUGAACGAAUUGAAGGAUUUACCUAAUCCGCGUGAGACCCAAGAGAAUGAUAUGGUCGAGUCAACCUUUAAUCCACUAAAGAUCGAUGUGUUUGUACAGACGUUGCUCAAUUUGGGCUCGAAAAGUUUCUCCCACACUUUUGCAGCCAUCUCUAAGUUUCAUCUUGUGUUCAAAUCGCUGGCUGAAACAGAAGAAGCUCAGAUCUGCAUUCUACAUAAUGUUUUCGAGUUGUGGGGCGAUCACCAACAGAUGAUGGUGGUAAUAAUCGACAAACUACUAAAGACACAAAUUGUCGAAUGUUCAGCUGUCGCAACUUGGGUCUUCUCCAAAGAAAUGGUCGGUGAGUUUACCAAGAUGUACCUGUGGGAGAUUCUACAUCUGACUAUCAAGAAAAUGAACCAACAUGUUGCUAAACUAAGUAAGGAGCUGAGCGAUGCCAAGGACCGACUAGAUCGCAAUGCCGAGUCCUCAUCGAGUGAAUCGGAAGAAGAUGUUGGAGCUGGUACGAUUGCUACUCCACGUCGCCGCAAGAAGCUCGCUGGAGAUGAUGCCGACAAACCGACGGAGGAACAAGUGGAACGAAUGGAGGAGAAAUUGGAAGCGGCAUACGUUGAUCAGAAGCGGCUGUUUUUGAUUGUCUUCCAGCGAUUCAUUAUGAUCUUGUCAGAACAUCUGGUCAAGUGUGACACGGAUGGGCGGGAAUAUGACACCGAUUGGUACCGCUGGACGGUUGGUAGACUACAGCAGGUAUUCAUGCUGCACCACGAACAAGUGCAGAAGUACAGUAGUACACUGGAGAGUCUUCUGUUCACAUCGGAUAUUGAUCCGCAUAUACUAGAUGUGUUCCAUCAGUUCACGGCGCUUAGAUCGUAAGAAGGAACUGCCCAAUGCUAAGAUCGGGACUUCAACAUGUGACAACUAGCUUGUGCGACCAACGCCUAUCAACCAUCUACCCAAAUCAAUCAUGUUACGCUCACCUCUUACGCCUUGAAGCGUGUAACAUCAUUUCAACGACAGCAUUACAACUAUGUCCAAUUGAGGCCUGAAUGUCUUUGAAUUAAUUCAUCGAGUUAUAUUACAAUAUUAUCAAACACGAGUAGCAAUUUUCAAUAUGCAGUCGAUACAUACGAAGAAAGAAUUAAACUUUUUGUUGAAAUAAUUUAUUAUUUGGUUCACUUUGACUUACUCUAUUUUAGGUUUGAAAAUGUACCAUGUCUG